ncrna:Frankia casuarinae Actino-pnp RNA
GCCGGUCCUCGGUCGUGGUCGCCGGGAUGGGUACGGGCACCGGACCCGGGGACUUCGACUGAGCACCGGC